GCGGUGAAAUGCGUAGAUAUUCGGGGGAAGGCCGGCGGCGAAGGCGCCUUUCUGGGAAAUUCCUGACACUGAGGCACGAAAGCGUGGGGAGCAAACAGGAUUAGAUACCCUGGUAGUCCACGCCCUAAACGAUGGAUACUAAGUAGGGGACCCUGCAAGGGGUUCCUUGCCGGAGCAAAAGCGUUAAGUAUCCCGCCUGGGGAGUAUGGUCGCAAGGCUGAAACUCAAAUGAAUUGACGG
rnacentral:rRNA from 1 species